rnacentral:rRNA from 1 species
CCUACGGGAGACAGCAGUGGGGAAUAUUGCACAAUGGGGGAAACCCUGAUGCAGCGACGCCGCGUGAGCGAAGAAGUAUUUCGGUAUGUAAACUUCUAUCAGCAGGGAAGAAAAUGACGGUACCUGACUAAGAAGCUCCGGCUAAAUACGUGCCCGCAGCCGCGGUAAUUCGUAUGGAGCAAGCGUUAUCCGGAUUUACUGGGUGUAAAGGGAGCGUAGGCGGUAAGGCAAGUCUGAUGUGAAAGGCCAGGGCUCAACCCUGGAACUGCAUUGGAAACUGUUGAGCUGGAGUGCCGGAGAGGCAAGUGGAAUUCCUAGUGUAGCGGUGAAAUGCGUAGAUAUUAGGAAGAACACCAGUGGCGAAGGCGGCUUACUGGACGAUGACUGACGCUGAGGCUCGAAAGCGUGGGGAGCAAACAGGAUUAGAUACCCUAGUAGUC